AGAUAUCUGAAGUGUACGUUGUUUACACAUCGUGCGAACCGAACACUUUAUUAUUAUAUAGGGAUUCUACUGAAGGUCUGGAAUGACAACCCUUUUACACUUGGAAGUCAGGAAGGAUUUUCUUGAAGCCCACCUGCAGUUACUUGCGGGUUCAUUACAUGUGUACGCCUUGACGGCAUAUUCGGAUAUUCU
rfam:Globicatella sp. HMSC072A10 Globicatella_spHMPREF2811-1.0_Cont350.1, whole genome shotgun sequence.